UCGCGUCUCGUUUUCAGUGUCAUUCCCUCCGCCGUGGGGAACUGGUUGUGUCUAGUGUAGUGGGGUGAGUGAACAGUCUUCAGCGUAGACUGUAGACUGUUAAAAAAUACUUAAGUGCACACAGGAUAUCUCUGGAGCAAAAUAAGAAUUCACAGAAUCAAUCAUCAAAUCAUCAGGACCUAAAAUGGAUACUCAAGUGCUCUUGGAUCCCAGACUACUAGGAGGGGAUGUAUGUCGAGUCCGUAUCGAUUCGACGUGUAACUCGUUUCUCCUAACUACUAUAUAUAUGACAAGAUUGGACUCCUCGCCUCGAUAUUGAUUACGUGUGCCUUCUUCUGGUUUAGCAUAUGAAUUCCAGUUCAGCAAGGAACAUGAAGGCAAUACUAUCAAAAAACCAACAUCUGGAAACUUUUUACAAACAGCUAAAUUUAUCUCAGAAGACACCAAAGAAGGAUUGGAUUAAAUUAUAAAAAGUCUCUCGGACAUUACAAAUGAGCGAAAAAUGCUAAAGUAAAACUUGGCCUAAUUUUUGAAGACUAUGGAAGAUUCGCAAAUGGCAUCGAAGGAAUCAAAAUUAAAAUAGGUCUCUAUGUUAUGUGAGCAACUGUAAUUCCAAUUUCUAAUUAGUCGAUUGAUGCAUUUAAAAUAUCAUAAGCGGAAUAGCUUGAUGCUAAGAAAGAGCUGUGAUUCUUACCUUUGCUUCAAUUUCUUUAAUUAUUCGUAUCAUUUUUUCCAGUAGUAUGAAAGAUUAACAACAAAUAUACAUGUAAUCCGUUAGGCCUGCCAAAAGAAAAAAGAAAAUAUGUAACUUAGCAAAGUCACUGUUUCUCGUCCUAAUUCUGGAUCUAUGUCCGAAUCAUUUUCAUACCCUCAAAAACAUAAUAGUAAUAUUUUAAAUUCCAUAUACGUACUUGUUAAACAUCUAAAUUUUCAGAAUUUAUUUAAGCAAACAAAUGAAUUAAACAACUAUUAAUUUCCUAAAAGUAAAUGGAUUACAAGUGGACAUCACAUUUUAAUGGGAAGCCUUCAAGAACGAUUGGAACUCAUUAACCAAACGGAGGAUAAUUAUAAAUCAUAUGAACAAUAUUAUUAUCAAAUCCUUACAUCCAUCUUCCUGAUAUUAUUUAUAAUCAAGAAAGUUUGCUAAUAAGAGUACUUAAUGUAAGAAUUACCCAGAUGUAAGGCCCAUUUUUGUAAAUCUCUAUCGUGAAUUAUAUAACCGGCAUCGGAAGAUGACUGAA